rnacentral:lncRNA from 1 species
CAGAAAAGACUCUGGGACGCUAUUCUAGCAAAUGAGUAACUAUCAAAAUGUAUCAUGAGCUUUCACGGGGUCAGAGAGAACAGGGUAUAAAAGGAAUCAUAACAGAAAACACACAGGAACAUGCAGGCACACACUGCUGCUAGAAGCAAUGAUCACAGGAACAAUGAGUUUCUUCAAAAGAAAAAAACAGGGCUCACAUCACAAGGGUCUAAGGAGUUCCAGAAUCGGCCUGCAAUUGAACUGACUUCUUCCAAGUACUACUCCACUGAAUAAUGGGGAAAAGGACAUUAAACACAAUACAGAGACUUCAUUGUGUCCUGGACGUUCUCUGAAGAUAACGGGAGCAACGACCUCAGCAGUACCCAGAAAACAAAUUAUUGGGAAGAAAACAUAGAGAACCAGAGUGAGAACCUGUGUUCACUGAGGGAAUUGUAUCUGCACAUGAGAGGCUGAGGCAGGAGGAUCAUUCGUUUGAGAUGAGCUUUAAUUCCACAAGGAGUUAAGUGCCAGCCUGGACUACAAAGAAAGAGUCUCUGUAUCAAGAAAUGAGAAUAAUUAAUGAAUUCCAGUAGCACCCUUUCCAUUUCUUCAAGUUGAUGUUAAGGGGGCAGUGUUGUUAUAAUAAACUGCUUUUUGUUUUUCUUUUCCUGCCAUGGGAGUAGAGACUAUUUCAACUAUUCUCUGAAGAAUUAUAAACAUGGAGGUGCCAAAAACAAUGGGAGGAUUAUAUGCAAACAUUAAAAAAAAUGUGACCAGGUGGAAAGACUCAUGAGGGGGAAGAGUUGGUAUUCAAAUCAAAAGCAGCCAGUUUCUGGGCAGCGGACCUUCCUAUGCUGCUACUGGCCUGAGCAAAGGAGGUGUUACUUUGGAGAAAUUCUGAUAGGCUUGAUGUAUAUCGGAACUUUGUAGCAUAAACCUUAUACAUGCUAGCCAUUCAGGGAAUUUAGUAUGAUCAUCUAAGGGAGAACUAACAAAUCACACUUCAAGAAUUGAAGCUGCAUUUGUAGACUCUUUAAUUGUUAGAGGCUUCAGAAAGACCUUGCACAUUUCCGCUGACCCCAGAGGCAAGGUGACGAAGAAUUCAUAGACUCAGAACUCUGAGUGAGCAACUAUAUUAAAGAAAUGAAAGGUACAUUGUGUCACUGGAGUUAAUCAAGAAAGAAUGCUCAAAGCAUCUAUCUGCAGAGCAUCUUCCAGCUCUUGUACAGAGGCUGGCAUAGGGGAGACUUACUCAGCCUUGAUGUUAUUCUGAGUUUGGGAAAGCUUCAGCAAGCAGAUAAGAGAGAUUUUUAAUUAGGAAACGAAGUAGUCACAAUAGAGGAAAGAAAUUACAGUGUCCGCCAAGCUUUCACGUCCGCGGUUUUAAUUUUCUUUAUGUAUUCCCUUUCAUAGAUUAUUACAAAAGUUAAUUUCAGCGGAUGCCUUUAGCGUGUCAAGCUUUUCAAAAUGUAGAAUUAUCAACCUUCAGGUAAAUGAAGUUUCGUUGUGUUAUGUUAAAUAUCAACCUUUUUUUUUUUUGUACCUGAGUGGAAAUAAGAUCGCCAUUUGCAAAUUUAAAGUUCUACCAUUCUGUCAGUACUUAUCAUUUUCUGCCCUUAGUGAAGCGUUGCUUGGCUCCAGUUUACUUUUGAGGGAAAAAAAUCACGUGUUUUUAUUUAAAAAUAAGAGACAAGGACUGGAGAGAUGGUUUAGAGGUUAAAAGCAUUGGUAGUUCUUCAAGAAGUCCUGAGUUCAAAUCCCAGCAACUACAUGGUGUAUCACAAGCAUUUAUCUGUGAUCUGAGGCUAUCUUUUGGCAUGCAGGUAUACAUGUAGGCCCAACACUGUAUACAUAAUUAAUAAGUCUCCUGGCACAUAUAUAGCAGAAGCCUGCCUUGUCUGGCUUCAGUGGGAGAGGAUGUGCAAUUCCUGUAGAGACUUGAUACCCCAAGCUGGGCGAUACUUUGAUGCUCUCAGAGACCAAAGGGAGGAGGAAUAGGGGAGAAAGAAUUCUGCAAGGGGAGACCCUGAAAAGGGGCAACAUUCAGGAUGUAAGUAAAUAAUUAAUUAAUAAAAAAGAAAGAAAGAAAAGAAGAGAGAGGGGGAGAGAGGGAGGGAGGGAGGGAGGGAGGGAGGGAGGGAGGGAGACAGAGAGAGAGAGACAGAGAGAGAGACAGAGAGAGAGAGAAGCGAAGCGAAGCGAAGCGAAGCGAAGCGAAGCGAAGCGACGAGACGAGACGAGACGAGACGAGACGAGACGAGACGAGACGAGACGAGACGAGAAGAGACGAGAAGAGACGAGAAGAGACGAGAAGAGACGAGAAGAGAAGAGAAGAGAAGAGAAGAGAAGAGAAGAGAAGAGAAGAGAAGAGAAGAGAAGAGAGAGAGGAGAGGAGAAUGGAAUGCCAGUAUACAGUUUUUGAAGAUGGCCUGUUGCUUAGAUACUAUUUGACCAAUGAUAUCUUCACCUUAAAUAUACAUUUUUAUGAUUCUCAGAGGACUGAGUUAUAUUUUCAUAUGGAUUAUAAAGGAAACAGAAAUCUGGUACAUCUCUAAUAUAAAUCAUUAAGCUUUAAUAAGUGAAAUACAAUUCUCAUUUAUAAAGCUAGUUUUCCCCACGCACUGGCUUCAGAAACAAUUAAAAGGAGGUGGCAAGAGCCUACAUUUGAUCAGUAAAGUCAUGUUCCACAGCCAUGAGAUGUGAGUUAGGAAUCCCAGUAAGCUCAAAAUAUUAAGCACAAAAACAGGAGCCUGUAAUGACAGUCCUGGGGACAGGAGGACAGGAGGACAGGAGGACAGGAGGGCAGGAGGACAGGACGGCAGGAGGACAGGAGCAGCCCUCAUGCUUGCUGCCCACCUAGUCUAACUAAAUCAGUAAGUUCCACAUGGAGUGAGAGACCCUGUCUGAAAAAAUCAAGGCAGGAAGUGAUUAAGGGAAACACCCAACAUUAACCUCUGACCUGCAAACACACACACACACACACACACACAAACACACACACACAC